CCUCCCGUAGCGCAGUGGUACGAGUGCCGGUCUUAUAAACCGGCGGGCGCGGGUUCGAUUCCCGCCGGGAGGA
rnacentral:tRNA from 1 species